UACGGAAUGUGCAAACGUUAUUCGGAAUCACUGGGCGUAAAGCGCACGUAGGCGGAUUGCUAAGUCAGGGGUGAAAUCCUGGAGCUCAACUCCAGAACUGCCUUUGAUACUGGCAAUCUCGAGUCCGGGAGAGGUGAGUGGAACUGCGAGUGUAGAGGUGAAAUUCGUAGAUAUUCGCAAGAACACCAGUGGCGAAGGCGGCUCACUGGCCCGGUACUGACGCUGAGGUGCGAAAGCGUGGGGAGCAAACAGG
rnacentral:rRNA from 1 species